AAGUGGGACUGCCUAAAGAAGGAGUAGUCCCACUCAUUCACAACAAUUCCCGGCGUGCUCCGUACAGGGCGGAGGCUCCGCCCAGGGCUUGGUCUAUUUGCGGCACUGCGCGAUGAUUGCUGGGAAUUGUAGUAGUGUUUGUGGGAGGGGGAUGAGAAUGAGGUCUCUUGGUGGUAUUUCGGGUGAGGCUUGCAGACUCUCUGAGCGUCUCGUUUGCGCUAAAAAAAAAAAAAAAAAAAUAGAAAAUGUAGAAAACAUGCCGGGAUUUUUCUAUUUGCUCUCUAAUUCUAUCUGUUCCUCUACUGGUAGAGAUAAAUUCUCUAGCGUAUUCCAAUCUUACCUGCCCUGCUUCCUGAAUUUUCUCUAGUGAUACAAAAGCUGAUGAGGAAACACACCUUGUUUGAGAAGCAAACGUGUCGUUGGGGACAUCUGACAAAACAUUCGUAUCAACCUAGAAAUAAAAGUCAAAAUCUACAGCGUUCAGUUGUAGUCUAUUCUGAGUUCUGGUUAGUGAAAGACCCAAACCAAAACAGUUGCCAGGUUCACAUAUUCCAAAUUAAUUCCAUCUGCAUCACUUACAGUAGCAUGUAGUCAAACUCAAACUAAGUCAAAUGAGAAAAAUGUCAAAUGAGAAAAAUCGCAGCAGCGAAGUUGCUGACAAGUCUUUAACCAAUUGCCAAGAUUCUCGGACACAGGAACAUUAAAUGAAAUAAAGGAAUGUGCUGUAGAUAAACCUUUAUAGUACUAUCUGAAUUUAAAUCCCUAGAAGCGGCACGAAACAAAGCACAAGUUGGUGCUGCUGCCAUUGAGGAGCAGCCCGCUUUGUCCAGAAAAUAGAUGAGACAAAUGAAACAGUAACCUAGGCGUGGACACAAAGUCCAGGAUUUCAUAUGCAAUCCAGGUGUUAGAACCCAUCUGGGAAUAGCUAGCCUAGCAUCCACAGAAGAUUGUGCUUGCUAUACAAGACUGAUGAAUGUAUCUUCAGCCAUGAAAAACCUCAGAGGACAAGAGUGCUUAAAUAACGUGAAAAGCAUAUUCCAAAUUUACUUUUACUUUGA